rnacentral:rRNA from 1 species
UACGGAGGGUGCAAGCGUUAUCCGGAUUCACUGGGUUUAAAGGGUGCGUAGGUGGGCAAGUAAGUCAGUGGUGAAAUCUCCGGGCUUAACCCGGAAACUGCCAUUGAUACUAUUUGUCUUGAAUACUGUGGAGGUCAGCGGAACAAAUGGUGGAGCGGUGAAAUGCGUAGAUAUCAGGAGGAACACCGGCGGCGAAGGCGGCUUCCUGGACCGAUACUGACGCUGAGACGCGAAAGCGUGGGGAGCAAACAGG